rnacentral:tRNA from 1 species
GCACCUUUAGCUCAGCUGGUAGAGCAGUAGACUCUUAAUCUAUUUGUCCAGGGUUCGAACCCCUGAAGGUGCA